GACCCUAGGGCUCCGCUCCGUGCCCUGCAUACCGUAGGCGCUCACGAAACGUUCGUGAGUUCCCCGCUUUGAGGAGACAAGCUUAAAAACUCGGAAUAACCACGCUGCACAAAGUGAACUUACCUGUUUUCAUCGCACUUUAUAUGCACGAAUUCUACCUCCACUCUCGACCUGGGACUCACUCCUGAGUAAGGAAGGACUGAAAGGCAAAAGGACCAUGGACUGGCCUUUUGGCAUAAUCAGGUGUUUAAAAAUAAAGAAGUGCACGAAUAAGAAAAGA